GAUGAACGCUGGCGGCGUGCCUAAUACAUGCAAGUCGAGCGAACAGACGAGGAGCUUGCUCCUCUGACGUUAGCGACUGACGGGUGAGUAACACGUGGAUAACCUACUUAUAUGACUGGGAUAACUUCGGGAAACCGGAGCUAAUACCGGAUCAUAUCUUCUACCGCAUGUUUCAAUAGUGAAAGACGUUUUUCCUGUCUCUUUUAGAUGGAUCCGUGUCGCAUUAGCUAGUUGGUAAGGUAACGGCUUACCAAGGCUACGUUGCGUAGCCGACCUGAGAGGGUGAUCAGCCACACUGGAACUGAGACACGGUCCAGACUCCUACGGGAGGCAGCAGUAGGGAAUAUUCCGCAAUGGGCGAAAGCCUGACGGAGCAAUGCCGCGUGAGUGAUGAAGGUCUUCGGAUCGUAAAACUCUGUUAUUAGGGAAGAACAAAAGUGUGAGUAACUAUGCACGUCUUGACGGUACCUAAUCAGAAAGCCACGGCUAACUACGUG
rnacentral:rRNA from 1 species